GCCUGCCCAAUGAAUUAUUCAAUGGCCGCAGUAUUUUAACUGUGCGAAGGUAGCAUAAUAAUUAGUUUUUUAAUUGAGAACUGGUAUGAAUGGUUGGACGAGGAAAAAGCUGUCUCGAUUUAAAUUUAAUUAGAAUUUUAUUUUUAAGUUAAAAAGCUUAAAUACAUUUGAAAGACGAGAAGACCCUAUAGAGUUUUAUAUUUUAUUAUUAUUUAAUAUAUAAAGAAUUUAAAGGAUUUUAUUUUAAAAUAAUAUUUAAUUGGGGUGAUUUAAAAAUUAAAUAAACUUAUUAUUUUUUUUACCAUUGAUAUAUGAAAAAUUGAUCCAUUGUUUAUGAUUAAAAGAUU
rnacentral:rRNA from 1 species